GUUGUUAUGCCCAGCUAGUUUGCUACAAGUGCUCAGUGGAGGUGAAACCUUUGCCCACGCAUGCCUUUUUACAAAAAGAAAAAAGAAAAGAGAAAGGAGAGACAAUGAAAAUGGAUAAGGGAUACCAUGUAUAAGAAGCCUUAAGUAAGAUGGCAUUGUAAACUGGAGAUGCAGAUCGAAGUAAAGAAGAAUCUGAGUUCAAAGCAUUCUCUUCUUCUCAUUCUGUUCACUGUCUGUCAAACUGGAUAAGCUAAAUCACGCCCACAUCCAGUGAGGACAGAACAG